rnacentral:rRNA from 1 species
ACAUCCAGAGAACUUAGCAGAGAUGCUUUGGUGCCUUCGGGAACUCUGAGACAGGUGCUGCAUGGCUGUCGUCAGCUCGUGUUGUGAAAUGUUGGGUUAAGUCCCGNAACGAGCGCAACCCUUAUCCUUUGUUGCCAGCGGCUCGGCCGGGAACUCAAAGGAGACUGCCGGUGAUAAACCGGAGGAAGGUGGGGAUGACGUCAAGUCAUCAUGGCCCUUACGGCCAGGGCUACACACGUGCUACAAUGGCGCAUACAAAGAGAAGCGACCCCGCGAGAGCAAGCGGACCUCAUAAAGUGCGUCGUAGUCCGGAUUGGAGUCUGCAACUCGACUCCAUGAAGUCGGAAUCGCUAGUAAUCGUAGAUCAGAAUGCUACGGUGAAUACGUUCCCGGGCCUUGUACACACCGCCCGUCACACCAUGGGAGUGGGUUGCAAAAGAAGUAGGUAGCUUAACCUUCGGGAGGGCGCUUACCACUUUGUGAUUCAUGACUGGGGUGAAGUCGUAACAAGGUAAGCGUAGCGAG